UACGGGGGGGGCAAGCGUUGCUCGGAAUCACUGGGCGUAAAGGGCGCGUAGGCGGGGAGGUAAGUCGGGUGUGAAAUCCCUCGGCCCAACCGAGGAACUGCGCCCGAGACUGCUUCUCUUGAGUCCCGGAGAGGAAGAUGGAAUUCCCGGUGUAGCGGUGGAAUGCGUAGAGAUCGGGAAGAACAUCAGUGGCGAAGGCGGCCUGCUGGGCUGUUGCUGACGCUGAGGCGCGACAGCGUGGGGAGCAAACAGG
rnacentral:rRNA from 1 species